GCCAACAUACUUAAAUAGGAUAUGUUCUAUAGACUAGUACCUUUGUGUCCUUGAGACCUAAGGAGAUAGGAGCUAAAGUCUGGGAGAUAACCUUGGCUGUGUAACCAGAGUGUGAUUAACAGCUCUGGUUGGGUCCCUUUGAAGCCCUCUGAGUCGUAGAGGAUCGUUCUCAAUCUGAGUCUCCAGCGGGGAUGGUCACACAACGAUCUGACAGACU